GUGACAGUGUGCCUUCAGAAAGAAAAAUAUCGCUGUUUUGUUGCCCCCUGGAUCACAAUUCACAAGCAGAGAGUGACGAACAAUCCACAGGAGCAUUCCGCUGCCCCGCACUGCCGCUGCUGACGUGUUGUUUACAUCUGACAGGUGGCGGCGGGCGGCUGGCGAUGUGUCGGUGGGUGGCAGCCUGCAGUGUGUUGACCCUGGAAGCUUGACGUUCAACACCAGGGUGAUUAUGGUGUAUUUUAUCAAUAUACAUAUGCAUUUUAACUUAUGUUAAGUAUUGAUGGGUAUUAAAUUCAGUUGUGGAGAUUCUGCGCGAGACGUGACAGCACUGGACAUCAGGGGCAGGCAGCAGCAGCAGCACUGCAGCAGCGUGAGGCGGCAUGACCUGAGUCUGGGUGGUGAGGAGGCGGCCACAGGUGAGACUCCAUCAGGCGGUGGUGUGUUCAGUCCAUUGGUAUGUGAUGUAAUUAGUGUGCACCAAUGCCGCCACGUAGGAGUGUGUACCACACCGGGCAGUAGCUGUCGCCUUGCCUGGGAUACUGAUGCACAGUGUUUGCUUGUACUGCACACUGGCACUGACACCCCAGCACGCGGCACUGUAAGAUUGUGUGCCAGGACUGCUGCUUCCUCGAGAAGCAUCAUGGGAGCAACAUCUGCCAUCGUGCUGGUGUUUGUCGGGUGUUGCACCAAUGUGGUGUUCCUGGAGCUUCUGGUCAAGGAGGAGCCAGGCAGUGGGAACAUCAUCACCUGUGCCCAGUUUGUCUUCAUCGCUCUUUAUGGCUUCCUGUUCACCACACAGCUGGGCACCAAGAAGAAUGUUGUCCCCAUCAGGGACUACAUGGUGCUGGUGGUGCUGUUCUUUGUGGUCAACGUCUGCAACAACCUGGCAUUUGCAUUCAAAAUCUCUAUGCCGCUCCAUAUGAUAUUCCGCAGUGGAGGCCUCAUUGCCAACAUGGUGAUGGCAGUGGUGGUGCUUGGCCGCCGUUACUCACCCUCCAAGUGUCUCAGUGUGGGCAUGAUCACCCUCGGCACCCUCGUGUGUACCUACGCGUCUGCCCAGACCCUGUAUGAAGGUGGAGGAGGAGGAAGUAGUGACGGAGGCAGUGGUGAGGACAGUGGAGUCGUGGUGCCCAGUUUGAUGACCUGGCUGGGAGGCAUUGCCUUGCUGACCUUUGCUCUGUUCCUAUCAGCCAGAAUGGGCAUCUUCCAGGAGUGUUUGUAUGCCCGCUAUGGCAAGCACCCGUGGGAGGCUCUGUUCUAUAUUGUGAGUGAAGCACCACCACUGCACCUCAUUGUCACAUCAGGCUGUGUCUUUGUUCUACCCAGUGUUGUGAGAGCACGCACUCUCCCUUCCUGGCUUCCUGCUGACAGUGGGCAGCAUAGCAGACCAUGCCCAGAGGUUCACCUCCUCCACCCCCCUGCCCUCUCUGGCCUCUGUACCAGUGUUGUCAGCCAUUCCUCACAUGUGGCUCUAUCUCCUGGGCAACACCCUCACACAGUUUGUGUGCAUCAGCUCUGUGUUCCGGCUCACCUCAGAGUGCACCUCCCUCACCGUCACGCUGGUGCUCACUCUACGCAAGUUUCUUUCUCUUCUCUUCUCCAUCGCAUACUUCUGCAACCCCUUCACUGUCACUCACUGGCUGGGCACAGCACUUGUGUUUGGCGGCACUCUGGUCUUCUCUGAGGUGCCAGACAAGCUGAGGGAAGCAGUGGCACCCUCACCUCCUGUGGCAGCUACCACCACCACCACCACCAAGAAGACUGACUAAUGGGUGCAGACUUUGGAUACAUAAUCAAGAAACUCAAAUAUUGAUCUCAGAGUUAUACAUUGAAUAUAAGAAUAUACAACAUAUUAUUUAUAGUUAAUAUGAAUUUACAUAUUUUCUCUUUAUGAGCUGUUUUUUAAGAUAAUGACUCCUUUGUAGGUCACAUUUCACCUGUCGUUGUUGGCUGUAGUGUUAUUGAUGUGAGUUGUAUACGUACAUAAACCAAGCUACCUGAGGAAGUGGAGAGAGUAUUAUUGUAGGAUGGCUGAGUGAAGGGGUGGGUGUUGUGGUGCUGGUAUGGGGAAUGUGUUGCUCUCUUGCUGGAAGGCAGAGGAGAAACAUGAGGGACAAGUGGAGAAGACACUUCUAUGGCACCAUUCCAUAACUAGGAUUAGGGAAAUAGCAAAAGGAAAAGAGAAGAAACGAGGCUGUGUAGUGCUGUGGUGAAACAUUCCUGUUGUGUCAGUGUAAUGAAUAAUGUGAUACCCUUGUGCUCUGCUGGCCUACUGUGGCUUUUCAUGGGUCCAUGGAGAGUGUGAAUGUUCUCUGUAGUGACAAGAUUCAUAUAAUGUAUUACUUAUUGGGGAGGCAUAGGUGAUGUUGAAGGGUGUCUGAUGCUAUUGUUGAGAUGGAGACAUUGAUGAAGUUGAGGGUUCCAUGAAGGCAGUGUUGGAGGUCGAAGGGUCUGUAAUGCUGCUGCUCUUUAAAUGUUACCUGCUUGAGAUGGAGAGGUGUUGAUGAAGUUUAAAGUUCCAUGAAGGUCAGUGUUUAAUGUUUUGCAUGUUCCCUUCACAAGCAUAGUCCUGGUGUCAGCAUUGUUUGUACAACAGGCACUAUCAUCUUACUGCUAGCAAUAAUACUCGUACACCAUCACUUACCAGGAAACAACUCGUCAUAGGCAGCUGAGUUAUAUCUGCUGUGAUGGUGAGUGGUUCUUGCCUCGCUCUGCUCCCUCUACCAUUGGCAUCUUAUUUAGUGACGAAGAGUAGAUACCACUAAGAUCCAUAUUCAGAAACACUUUUCUCUCUCAAUCAUCGUGACAGUUUUCAAAGGUCACAGAGAUGAUGAGCUCAGUUCUUGACUUUGUUUGUUUUGUUCAUAAUGUACAAAUAUUGAUUUGCCACCAAAACCUUAAAGACACUCUUCAAAACUCUUGUCCCUUCAACUAGAGCAGUGCAGAAGUGUUCCAGAAUAGUGUAUUCCUGACAGUGAUGAAUGGCACUUUUCAUUCCAUGCUUCCACUGACCUGACUUAACUAAUCACUGAAAGAUGGAGAUACAGCCAGGAGGGAUGACUGCUUCUCUCCUCAUUCCUCAUUCCAUGCUUCCACUGCUUUCAUCACCUUAUUGACAGGGAAUACAGCACAGCCGGCACUGAUGCACAGUACCCUCAUCACUCCCCUCUUCUUUCUUUGCACUGACGAGGAGUGAAGCACAGGCAGUGGUGAGGAACAGUGUGCCUCUCACUGCUUGCUUCACCAUUCAUCAUUCCAUCAGUCUUCCUUAUUCUAAGAAUGCUACCAUUGCUCCCCUCCAUGUUACUGAUUGGUCUACUCUGGAGGUAUAAGCUGUCAAUAUUCAAAGAUACGCUUGAUGUCUGUGAAUCUCAUACAAACAGUGAAACUUAAUCCAGAUGGAAAGUUGUUUUAUAUUGCAAAGUUUAUUGUUAAAUGUUGUUGUUGUUGUUGUUGUUGUUGUUGUCGUUAUAUUUAUUUCUUUGAUGUGCAUACUUGGUGUGCUUUGCAUUUAAAUUUUCUACAGUACAUCACGAUAUACUACAGUACAUUUAUAUACCCUAAGGUGUUGAUCCUCAUGUUAUGUGCAGUGUUUGUUGAUCCUGGUGGUACAUAAAGGACAGUUACUCCACAAAGGAAGGCUGCAAGCUGGUUAAUUGUGAGUUUUGUCCUUAGUUUUCUCAUUUGACGGCUGAAAAUUUAGUGUCUGUGAGGCAUUAUAUCUAUUAACUCAUUUAUUAGAUAUUUAUUACAUUCAUCUUCUAUUUAUUAUGUUAGAUAUUUAGUAUAUUUAUCUCCUAUUUAUUUCGUUAGUUUAUGGAACUGUAGGAUAAUAUUGUUGUUCACAAAAUACUUGUCAUUGGAUGAAGCAAUUUGCAAAACAUUUAUUUACUUAUUUUUUCAACCAUUCCCAGCUUGUUUACUGAAUGUGUGAGGUGUGGCUGGCAAGUGUUGUGUUGCAGUGGUGCAGUGCAACACUGUCUGUGUCCUCUCAUCCAUUCCUAUAGAUAUGCUGCCACAGUAAUGCUGUGUCAAAUACGGGUUGUCUUCAUUUGCGUGCGCGUGCUCGUGUGUGUGUGUGUGUGUGUGUGUGUGUGUGUGUGUGUGUGUGUGUGUGUGUGUGUGUGUGUGCACGCAUAUAAUUAUUGAAAGGUAUAUUAUACAGUGGUAAGAUACAAUUAAGUGAAUAUGCAUUGGGACCAACAGUUGUUGAGUUAGGGUUGUGCCUGGCAGGGGCAGGCAGCAGCAGACAUGUGCAGCUGUGAUGGCUUGUCAAGUAUCAGUCCAUUGUACAAUACAGUACCCAGAGUAGCUGUAACCCAGAGCGGUUCAUUGCUGUGAAUGGCAGGAAGUGAGAUGAAUAGAGUGUAGUUCUAUAUGAAUUUGUGCUGAAAAUGUACUUGUAUGAUAUUCCUUGUUUAGCAAUGUUGAAAUAUCAUCAAUGAAUAGCCAAACACCAAGAGUGAAUUACAAUAGCAGUAGUUGGGAACAAUAAAAGUAAACAUUGAU
rnacentral:misc_RNA from 1 species